GAAGUUGGAAUACCGGCCAUAUGCUUUUGCAUGCCACUUGUUUCGAUUCGAGUUGGCAAGAUAGACAAGCAAGGGACUCUUCUUUGCCCCACAUCAACAAGGUGAAGUGGGCGUAUCUUAUUAUGAUCUCUGAAUUAAGGGGGAGUCAAGGUAGUUUCAUGCUCCUAUAUUAUCUUGUCGACUGUUGCUUUUUGAAUGUAUAUAGGAUCUGAAUUCAACAAGUAGAAAAUGUUAGUGACUAUUUUUGUUCUUAUGCUUGUCAUUUAGGUAGGUCUCGUGACGCUGUAAUUCUGAUCUCAUUAAGUUCUCUUCAGUCAAUUGGUUGUUAUUGUUUGCAUUUGACAAUUAAUAGUUAUGUGAACUGACUUUUUAUAUUA